rnacentral:rRNA from 1 species
UACAGAGGCGGCAAGCGUUGUUCGGAAUUAUUGGGCGUAAAGAGCACGUAGGCGGCUGUGUAAGUCGGUUGUGAAAGCCUUCCGCUCAACGGAAGAACGGCAUCCGAUACUGCAUGGCUUGAGUGUGGGAGGGGAGAGUGGAACUUCUGGUGGAGCGGUGAAAUGCGUAGAUAUCGGAAGGAACGCCGGUGGCGAAAGCGACGCACUGGACCUCUUCUGACGCUGAGGCGCGAAAGCCAGGGGAGCAAAC